rnacentral:rRNA from 1 species
UACGGGGGGAGCAAGCGUUGUUCGGAUUUACUGGGCGUAAAGGGCGCGUAGGCGGCCACCGCAAGUCGGUUGUGAAAUCUCCGGGCUUAACCCGGAAAGGUCAAUCGAUACUGCGGGGCUAGAGUGCAGAAGGGGCAACUGGAAUUCUCGGUGUAGCGGUGAAAUGCGUAGAUAUCGAGAGGAACACCCAUGGCGAAGGCAGCUCGCUGGCCUGUAACUGACGCUGAGGUGCGAAAGCGUGGGGAGCAAACAGG